rnacentral:tRNA from 1 species
GCUUGAUUAGCUCAGUGGUAGAGCAUCCGAGGUACUCGGCUGGUCGUAGGUUCGACUCCUACAUCAAACACCA